ensembl:lncRNA
CGAUGACAAAGACCACCAUCUGUUCCCUUCCUUGUGGGUUCUUGUCAGCCUCGCUGGGAGCUGGUGGGGACCCUAGACUCCCCACCAUGGACCCACCAGGGCCCCCAUCAUGGACCCAGCAGGGUCCCCAGCAAGGGACACACCAGGGGGCCAACCAUGGACUCAUCACAGUCCCUACCGUGGACCUACCAUGGACCUACCAUGGACCUACCAUGGACCUACCAUGGACCUACCAUGGACCUAACAUGGACCUAACAUGGACCUACCAUUGACCUAACAUGGACCUACCAUGGCUUGCAUUCCUGGAAGCCAGGAAUGCCUUUCAGAGUUCACAGUGAACACAAAUGUGAGAGGAUAAGGUGUAAAGAAGAAGGAGAAGAAGGAGAAGAAGGAGGAGGAGUAGUAGAAGAAGCAGAAUUUAGUUUUGUUUGUUGGCUGGAAGGACCGAUACCUACCAGCAUAGCGGAGAAGAGCUGUGUUCCUCCUCUGAUCACGUGACUGCCAAACAGAAUCAGAGAAGCCGUUGCGGGGCGGCCCUCCAGAAUGUCACAUGAUGAGCAGGGCUGCCGUCACCAGGGCCAACGACACCAGGGCCACACAGGGUGUGUCCUGAUCCAUCUCACGCCUGCC